AUCCUGGCUCAGGAUGAACGCUAGCGGCAGGCUUAACACAUGCAAGUCGAGGGGCAACGCGAGUAGCAAUACUUGGCGGCGACCGGCGCAAGGGUGCGUAACGCGUGAGCAACAUGCCCGUAUCAGGGGGGAUAAUCCAGGGAAACUUGGUCUAAUACCCCAUAGUAAUUUUGUAAGGCAUCUUAUAAGAUUUAAAGCUUUGGUGGAUACGGAUUGGCUCGCGUGACAUUAGCUGGAUGGUAAGGUAACGGCUUACCAUGGCUAUGAUGUCUAGGGGUUCUGAGAGGAAGGUCCCCCCACACUGGAACUGAGACACGGUCCAGACUCCUACGGGAGGCAGCAGUGAGGAAUAUUGGACAAUGGAUGGAAAUCUGAUCCAGCCAUGCCGCGUGAAGGAAGAAAGGUCCUAUGGAUUGUAAACUUCUUUUGUAUGGGAGCAAUAAGGCCUACGAGUAGGUUGAUGAGAGUACCAUACGAAUAAGCACCGGCUAACUCCGUGCCAGCAGCUGC
rnacentral:rRNA from 1 species